rnacentral:rRNA from 1 species
GGCAACCCUGACGGAGCAACGCCGCGUGAGGGAGGAAGGCCUUAGGGUUGUAAACCUCUUUUCUCAGGGAAGAAGGACUGACGGUACCUGAGGAAUAAGCCUCGGCUAACUCCGUGCCAGCAGCCGCGGUAAGACGGAGGAGGCAAGCGUUAUCCGGAAUUAUUGGGCGUAAAGCGUCCGCAGGCGGUUAUUUAAGUCUGCUGUUAAAGCCCACAGCUCAACUGUGGAUCGGCAGUGGAAACUGAAUAACUUGAGAGCGGUAGGGGUAGAGGGAAUUCCCGGUGUAGCGGUGAAAUGCGUGGAUAUCGGGAAGAACACCAGUGGCGAAGGCGCUCUACUGGGCCGCGACUGACGCUGAGGGACGAAAGCUAGGGGAGCG